rnacentral:rRNA from 1 species
AACGAACGCUGGCGGCAUGCCUAACACAUGCAAGUCGAACGAACCCUUCGGGGUUAGUGGCGCACGGGUGCGUAACGCGUGGGAAUCUGCCCUUUGCUUCGGAAUAACUCAGGGAAACUUGUGCUAAUACCGGAUGAUGUCUUCGGACCAAAGAUUUAUCGGCAAGGGAUGAGCCCGCGUAGGAUUAGGUAGUUGGUGGGGUAAAGGCCUACCAAGCCGACGAUCCUUAGCUGGUCUGAGAGGAUGAUCAGCCACAAUGGGACUGAGACACGGCCCAGACUCGUACGGGACGCAGCAGUGGGGAAUAUUGGACAAUGGGCGCAAGCCUGAUCAAGCAAUGCCGCGUGAGUGAUGAAGGCCCUCGGGUCGUAAAGCUCUUUUACAAGGGAUGAUAAUGACAGUAACUGGAGAAUAAGCUCCGGCUAACUCCGUG